CAAGUCGAGCGAGCUUGCCUAGAUGAUUUUAGUGCUUGCACUAAAUGAAACUAGAUACAAGCGAGCGGCGGACGGGUGAGUAACACGUGGGUAACCUGCCCAAGAGACUGGGAUAACACCUGGAAACAGAUGCUAAUACCGGAUAACAACACUAGACGCAUGUCUAGAGUUUGAAAGAUGGUUCUGCUAUCACUCUUGGAUGGACCUGCGGUGCAUUAGCUAGUUGGUAAGGUAACGGCUUACCAAGGCAAUGAUGCAUAGCCGAGUUGAGAGACUGAUCGGCCACAUUGGGACUGAGACACGGCCCAAACUCCUACGGGAGGCAGCAGUAGGGAAUCUUCCACAAUGGACGAAAGUCUGAUGGAGCAACGCCGCGUGAGUGAAGAAGGGUUUCGGCUCGUAAAGCUCUGUUGGUAGUGAAGAAAGAUAGAGGUAGUAACUGGCCUUUAUUUGACGGUAAUUACUUAGAAAGUCACGGCUAACUACGUGCCAGCAGCCGCGGUAAUACGUAGGUGGCAAGCGUUGUCCGGAUUUAUUGGGCGUAAAGCGAGUGCAGGCGGUUCAAUAAGUCUGAUGUGAAAGCCUUCGGCUCAACCGGAGAAUUGCAUCAGAAACUGUUGAACUUGAGUGCAGAAGAGGAGAGUGGAACUCCAUGCGUAGCGGUGGAAUGCGUAGAUGUAUGGAAGAACACCAGUGGCGAAGGCGGCUCUCUGGUCUGCAACUGACGCUG
rnacentral:rRNA from 1 species